UACGUAGGGUGCAAGCGUUGUCCGGAAUUAUUGGGCGUAAAGAGCUCGUAGGCGGUUUGUCGCGUCUGCUGUGAAAAAUCCAGGGCUUAACCCUGGACCUGCAGUGGGUACGGGCAGACUAGAGUGCGGUAGGGGAGAUCGGAAUUCCUGGUGUAGCGGUGAAAUGCGCAGAUAUCAGGAGGAACACCGGUGGCGAAGGCGGAUCUCUGGGCCGUAACUGACGCUGAGGAGCGAAAGCAUGGGGAGCGAACAGG
rnacentral:rRNA from 1 species